GAUCCUGGCUCAGGAUGAACGCUGGCGGCAUGCCUAAUACAUGCAAGUCGAACGGAGUGAAGCCUUCGGGUUUCAUUCAGUGGCGAACGGGUGAGUAAUACGCAGGGAACCUGGCCAUGGCAGGGGGAUACACUCUGGAAACGGAGCAUAAGACCCCAUAGGCAGUAAGGCGGCAUCGCCUUACUGUUAAAGAAAGCUGAAAGGCUUUGGCGAUGGAUGGACCUGCGGUGCAUUAGCUUGUUGGUGAGGCAACGGCUUACCAAGGCGAUGAUGCAUAGCCGGCCUGAGAGGGCGGACGGCCACACUGGGACUGAGACACGGCCCAGACUCCUGCGGGAGGCAGCAGUAGGGAAUUUUCGUCAAUGGGCGCAAGCCUGAACGAGCAAUGCCGCGUGAGUGAGGAAGGUCUUCGGACUGUAAAGCUCUGUUGCCGGGGAAAAAGGGGAAAUGCAGGAAAUGGCAUUUCAUGGAUGGUACCCGGCCAGAAAGCCACGGCUAACUACGUGCCAGCAGCCGCGGUAAUACGUAGGUGGCGAGCGUUAUCCGGAAUGAUUGGGCGUAAAGGGUGCGCAGGCGGUCUGUUAAGUCUGAAGGCAAAGGGAUGAGCUCAACUCAUUUAUGAUCCAGAAACUGGCAGACUUGAGGACAGGAGAGGGCGGUGGAACUCCAUGUGUAGCGGUAAAAUGCGCAGAGAUAUGGAAGAACACCAGUGGCGAAGGCGGCCGCCUGGCCUGUGACUGACGCUGAGGCACGAAAGCGUGGGGAGCAAAUAGGAUUAGAUACCCUAGUAGUCCACGCCGUAAACGAUGAGGAGCAGGCGUUGGGAGUGAAAUCUCAGUGCCGAAGCCAACGCAGUGACUCCUCCGCCUGGGGAGUAUGCACGCAAGUGUGAAACUCAAAGGAAUUGACGGGGGCCCGCACAAGCGGUGGAGUAUGUGGUUUAAUUCGAAGCAACGCGAAGAACCUUACCAGGUUUUGACAUCGGAUGCGAAGGUGCAGAGAUGCGCUGGAGGUUAACAUCCAGACAGGUGGUGCAUGGUUGUCGUCAGCUCGUGUCGUGAGAUGUUCAGUUAAGUCUGGCAACGAGCGCAACCCCCGUGGUAUGUUACUAACGCUUAGGGCGAGGACUCAUAUCAGACUGCCGGUGACAAACCGGAGGAAGGCGGGGAUGACGUCAAAUCAUCAUGCCCCUUAUGACCUGGGCUACACACGUACUACAAUGGCGUCUACAGAGGGAAGCGACCCUGAGAAGGGAAGCGAAACCGGAAAAGGGCGUCCCAGUUCGGAUUGAAGUCUGCAACCCGACUUCAUGAAGAUGGAAUCGCUAGUAAUCGCGGAUCAGCAUGCCGCGGUGAAUACGUUCCCGGGCCUUGUACACACCGCCCGUCAAACCAUGGAAGCCGGCAACGCCCGAAGCCGGUGGCAUAACCUUUUAGGAGUGAGCCGUCGAAGGCGGGGCCGAUGACUGGGGUUAAGUCGUAACAAGGUACCC
rnacentral:rRNA from 1 species